rnacentral:rRNA from 1 species
UGGGGAAUAUUGGACAAUGGGGGCAACCCUGAUCCAGCAAUGCCGCGUGUGUGAAGAAGGCCUGAGGGUUGUAAAGCACUUUCAGUGGGGAGGAGGUUAUGCAGGUUAAGAGCUAGCAUAAUGGACGUUACCCACAGAAGAAGCACCGGCUAACUCCGUGCCAGCAGCCGCGGUAAUACGGAGGGUGCGAGCGUUAAUCGGAAUUACUGGGCGUAAAGAGUGCGUAGGUGGUUUAUUAAGUUAUCUGUGAAAUCCCUGGGCUCAACCUGGGCAGGUCAGAUAAGACUGGUAGACUCGAGUAUGGGAGAGGGUAGUGGAAUUUCCGGUGUAGCGGUGAAAUGCGUAGAGAUCGGAAGGAACACCAGUGGCGAAGGCGGCUACCUGGCCUAAUACUGACACUGAGGCACGAAAGCGUGGGGAGCAAACAG